GCCGUGGUAGCUCAGUAGGUAGAGCGCGUGCUUGGUAAGCACGAGGUCGCGAGUUCGAUUCUCGCUCACGGCU
rnacentral:tRNA from 1 species